rnacentral:rRNA from 1 species
CACCGCGGUUAUACGAGAGGCCCAAGUUGACAAACGCCGGCGUAAAAUGUGGCUAUAUUACAGUAUUGCACUAAAGCUAAACAUCUUCAAAGCUGUUAUACGCACCCGAAGACAGGAGGCCCCUCCACGAAAGUGGCUUUAAACAACAUUAGCCCACGAAAGCUAGGAAA